rnacentral:tRNA from 1 species
GGGCCUGUAGCUCAGCGGUAGAGCAGUGGACUCAUAAUCCAUUGGUCGUGGGUUCGAAUCCCCCCGGGCCCA